UUGCAGCCAGUUAAGCCGACUGUGCUUUUUUCCCCAUGGGGGCCCUGUGCGCAGCGGCUGCAAACAGCAGCCUCCUCGGUACUGUAUGCAGCCUGUUGCCUGUAUGGGUUGCCCUAAGGGACCUUGGAGACAGCC